CAUGGAGUUUGAUCCUGGCUCAGAUUGAACGCUGGCGGCAUGCCUUACACAUGCAAGUCGAACGGCAGCACGGGUGCUUGCACCUGGUGGCGAGUGGCGAACGGGUGAGUAAUAUAUCGGAACGUACCUUAUCGUGGGGGAUAACGUAGCGAAAGCUGCGCUAAUACCGCAUACGCCCUGAGGGGAAAGCGGGGACCGUAAGGCCUCGCGCGAUUAGAGCGGCCGAUAUCUGAUUAGCUUGUUGGUGGGGUAAAAGCCCACCAAGGCGACGAUCGGUAGCUGGUCUGAGAGGACGAUCAGCCACACUGGGGACUGAGACACGGCCAGACUCCUACGGGAGCAGCAGUGGGGAAUUUGGACAAUGGGGGCAACCCUGAUCCCAGCAAUGCCGCGUGAGUGAAGAAGGCCUUCGGUUGUAAAGCUCUUUGUCAGGAGAACAGCAGCUCUAACACAGUCUGCGAAUGACGGUACCUGAA
rnacentral:rRNA from 1 species